rnacentral:rRNA from 1 species
UUUGUGGCGAACGGGUGAGUAACACGUGGGCAAUCUGCCCUUCACUCUGGGACAAGCCCUGGAAACGGGGUCUAAUACCGGAUACGACCUGUCAAGGCAUCUUGGCGGGUGGAAAGCUCCGGCGGUGAAGGAUGAGCCCGCGGCCUAUCAGCUUGUUGGUGAGGUAACGGCUCACCAAGGCGACGACGGGUAGCCGGCCUGAGAGGGCGACCGGCCACACUGGGACUGAGACACGGCCCAGACUCCUACGGGAGGCAGCAGUGGGGAAUAUUGCACAAUGGGCGAAAGCCUGAUGCAGCGACGCCGCGUGAGGGAUGACGGCCUUCGGGUUGUAAACCUCUUUCAGCAGGGAAGAAGCGAAAGUGACGGUACCUGCAGAAGAAGCGCCGGCUAACUACGUGCCAGCAGCCGCGGUAAUACGUAGGGCGCGAGCGUUGUCCGGAAUUAUUGGGCGUAAAGAGCUCGUAGGCGGCUUGUCACGUCGGUUGUGAAAGCCCGGGGCUUAACCCCGGGUCUGCAGUCGAUACGGGCAGGCUAGAGUUCGGUAGGGGAGAUCGGAAUUCCUGGUGUAGCGGUGAAAUGCGCAGAUAUCAGGAGGAACACCGGUGGCGAAGGCGGAUCUCUGGGCCGAUACUGACGCUGAGGAGCGAAAGCGUGGGGAGCGAACAGGAUUAGAUACCCUGGUAGUCCACGCCGUAAACGGUGGGCACUAGGUGUGGGCAACAUUCCACGUUGUCCGUGCCGCAGCUAACGCAUUAGUGCCCCGCUGGGGGAGUACGCGCAGCUAAACUCAAGAUUGACGGGGGCCCGCACAAGCGGCGGAGCAUGUGGCUUAAUUCGACCGCCAACGUCG